UCUAAUACCGGAUAACACUUCCACNCUCCUGGGUGGAGGUUAAAAGCUCCGGCGGUGAAGGAUGAGCCCGCGGCCUAUCAGCUUGUUGGUGAGGUAACGGCUCACCAAGGCGACGACGGG
rnacentral:rRNA from 1 species